AGUGUCUGUUGUUUAUAUGCUAUCCUGUCUGUGGAUUUUGUUACAGCAGCCUGAAUGGACUAAGACAAUGAGUGACUGAGUGGAUUGUUUCCAAUUAAUUCUUUUAACCUUGAAGGCUGGGACCACUUCUACCCUACAAGGCAAGGCAGUGUUAGUCAUAAAUAUGUUUUCCCCAGGAAUGAACCACUGCAAAGAGAGAGAAGAAAGUAGAACAUGGCCAGAGGAAGAAUUGAAAGUUCCACAGGCAACUUCCUAAAUGAUGACAGAGACCUAAGACUACAAAGCAUGGCGACCUACUGGAAAGAAGAAAGGUCAUGAACUCCUGAGGAGGUUGGCGAAGAAAUGCCAAAAGAGUUGACUAGAUCUCUUCCAAAUCCUAGAUGGAAAAACUCAAAGCACCAAGAUAUUUAAUAAGCUUUUCAGGAUCACGGAAUGAAGAGAACUGAAGUGUCAAACUGGUUGGCCUAUGGUCUCCCUAAGUUUUUUCUGAGGGCUGGCUCUAGGUUUUUUGGAAUCAUUAGGGAGAGCCUGGACCACACCUGCAUGUGCCGAUACCCCCCAGCCCUGCAGCUCUGUGAGA